CUGAGGAGUUGAGAGUUAUGAGAGCAGCAUCCCACAGAGGGGACAAAUGCAAGGCCAUUAUAGGAAAGGGUAAUAUAAGAUCUACUCACAAAUAAAGAUGAGCAUUUUGGAAAGGAUUUGGGCAUUUAAAAAAGUGAACAAUGCAUCUGGGGUUUGGUGCUGAUCUAAUUAAACUUGUGAGGCUGCAAAGGAUUCAUCCCCACCCAGUGAGAAGCAGCCAGGUUGCAGUUGCUGUGGGAACAGCGCCACCAACCAGACCAAUUUGUUAAAAACUCCUUUUGAAUUCUUACCUAUGAUAAAAUCGACUUUUUGGCUUUCCACAUCAGCCAGAGGAGGAGAACACCCAUUCCUCCAAGGAAGACCACUUGAAGUUCAGAUCUGCAAAUAUUGCACUUUGCAUCCAAGUGGAAAAGCAACCGGAGGAACUACAGGGACUACAUCUAGUUUCAUGCUCAAAAUAUAUUUGCCUAUGUAUUGACCCUAAACAAUAGCUAAUUUGUUGGCCUCGACUUGCCACUAGGGGAAAGCAAUCCAGCUUAACUCGUGUCAAGUAAAAGGCCUGGUGCUGCUCAUACUCCCCCUGGACCAUUCCUGCCCUCACAUAAACCAAUCAAUGAUGCUGAGGAACAUUCAGUAGCCAUCAAACAAGAAACACUCCGAGGAAACCAAUGAGUAGCACUUUCCCAUCUUUGCCUCAGGAACUCUGCCUCCUGGUAGAAAGGGUCCAGCAGAGUGGUGACCUGGUGACAUAUAUAUAUAUAUAUAUAUAUGUAUAUAUAUAUAUAUAUAGGCUGUGCUGUCCAUGCAGGCCCUGGCCUGUUGAGGAGUCAAGUGUUUUCAAUGAUAAUAAAGAUCAUGAAUAGUUUAAGACCUUACUGUCUAUAGAACUAUUUAAUUUCUUUUGUGAGAAGGUAAGUGAAAUUAGGAAACAAGAUAAAGUGGAAUACAAGUCAAAAUGCCCGGGGGAUACAGACUACUGUAGAUACAACGAUAAUGCAUUUGGUUUUCUUCUUUGUUUUAAUUAAAUCCAUCUAGUCUUUAUCCUCUACAGAUCUAACACUUCUUAAAAGUGAGGAUAAAAUCUCAAGUUUAGAAGGAAACUCUUGUUUUAUUGGACAUUAAGUUAAUCCUUUACUUUUUCUUAGUGACACUGUGUGAUAUUUUCUUCUGAAAAAUAGUAAGCCAUUGUUUUGUUUUAAGACACAUGAAUGCUUUUUAAUUGAUACAGUAGGAAUUCAUUUCUGAGAAGACAAAUGAUGUCAUUCUCCCUGCCCCCAAGUCUAUGCUUAUAUAAAUCUUUGCUUUCAUUGAUUUAUAUUCAUGGAGGAGUUUCUAAGAAUAAAUUUUCCUCAACUAAGUAGUGGUGGCAUUUAAGUGUCUUGAGGAUCCCACUUGAGAUUUGAGUAAAGGCUGAGGAGGAAGUUUCCAAAUUGGGGAAGAAACAACAGAUCAUGAUCUAUAGCAAUCGUGUGGUCAGCUGGCUGUUCCUAUCUAUCCAUUGAAUUAAAUAUGGGCUGAUGGAUGACACCUUUUACAUUAAAUAAAACAUGCUUUCUCCUCUCUCACCCGUAUGAGACUCAUGUAUUCUUGGCUCAGUUUUAAUUUUCCAAUGUAUUACAUUAAUAUAGGAGCUAAAGCAUGCAAAUAAUGUAGAAUAGUGGAUAAUCCCCUCAACCUAAUAGUGGUCACCAUUUAACAAGUUGGAUUUAUGUCUCUGGUAUAUGGCUUCAUUUAGUCAUUAUGCCCACUUAUGGAUGAAUGGAGGGAGAUUUGGUAAAAUUAACUCAUCUGCAAUUUUGCCCAGCUGGUUUAUGGAAUAAUUAAAACUAUGGUUCAGCCUGAGCCAAUUUAUUUCACCCCUCCUCUAUAUGAGCUGUUUAAAUUUUAUACAAAAUUCAAAUUUUGAUCUGCAUGUAUUCUUGGAAUAUCAAACAUUUCAAAGAUAGCAAUGAACUCUGUGUUAAAAGUAGAAUGAAAGACGUUGGGAUUUGAAAUCAUAAUGGGAAUUCAGAGAAGCUUUCCCACAUUCUAAUUAUGUAUCUAUCUCCCUCCUUAAAAAAAGAACUGUUCUUUGUUCUGCAUGUGAUACUGAACAGCAACUCUUGUAACCCUCAACAAAGGAAAAAAAUCCACACAUAUAUGUGUACAUACAUACACAAGGACCCAAAUUUUAUGUCUAUAAAACUCGGUAGCCCAGAUACUGUCUGAUGCCUAGCAAACCAGCAGUAGUUAACAUAGACGGUCAGUUCCAGCAGUUUCUUCUUAAAAAUAGUUAUUAAUUUUGCUUCUGAAUCUUCCACUUGUCCAGGGCUCGGAAGGGAUGGCUUAUCUUUGCUCUGCACAGCAUUAGCUGGGAUGGCUCUACUGGGGAUAGAAGAGCCACUUACUGGGUGGCGGGCAGUUCAGUGUUGAAGUGGGACAGUUUGGUCACUCAUGGCUGGAAGCUGGGGUAUAGCACUUCUUUGCAUGCGCCUCUCCAUGUGAGCAUCUCCCUGUAGGCUUUGGCUUCUUCACAAUCUGGUGACUUGGAUACAGGUGUGCAUAUUCUAGGAAAACCAGACAGAAGCUAUGCCAAACUUUAGACCCAUCCUCAAAAGUCACACAGCACCAUUUCUGUUGCCAUUACCCUGUAGCUAUAAGACGCUACCUGAGUGGACAGAAGCAUGUGCAAAUAAAAUUAAAUAAGCAUUUCUGCCACCCUUUCUGAUUGAGCUUUAAAUAAGGAAAUAAAAGCAGCACUAUCCACAGACAAUCGAAGAUUGGCUUUAUGUUCAACCUGAGCACUCUUAUAAAAUCAAGUUCUCCCUGGGUACACAUCUAGAAGUGUAUAUGUUUUAGAAGCAUCUAGUUGGAAGUUGCAAACCUUUAUGUUCCCAACAGUACAUGUGUUACUUCUCUAAGGAAUAUGCCUGGUGGACUGUAAGACUUUUACUUCUGCAAAUGUUACUUAAAAUUAUAAUUUUUCUUUUCAGGACAGCACUGAACUGAUUUCACACUGAUUUCAUUAUGCUCCACUUAGCACCCGACACACUGCCUUGCACACCUGGGUGCUUAAUAAUGUGAUUCGAUGAUGAAUUCCUAUUAUAAACCCUUCAUGGGAUUCAAAAACAUUUCACUGUAUGAUUUGGGUUACAGUACUUGACUGAAGUCCUUUUUUCCCCUUUUAUUCAUUUAAUACAUAUUUAUUGAGGAUUUCCAAGGUCAUAGUUUUUAAUUAUUGGCUUUGGGAGUAAAAUAGAGGGAAUCUAAUAAAUGCCUGAUUUUUUUGAAAUUAUAUAAGGUCCAGGGCAGAUGAUAUAAUUUAAAUCUAUUUAUAUAACUUAGAUAUAUACAAGGCUGUGCAUAAAGGCCAUACCCUUGUCCUUUGAGGGAAGGGGCAGUGUGUUUAUGUCACUUUGGAAUGUAAGAUAAUUACACAAAUGGUCAAUUCAGCAAGUACUGCCAUAUAAAUAGCCAAAUGUCUCCUACGAAUAUCCUUUUACCUCCGUCUCAAAGAGUGUAUUAUGUUUCUCUGGUUAGAGUUCUGUUUUAUGUGUGCAUUUUUAAAUUCUGAAAUACAUGUUUAGAAUAUAAACUUAUUGUGAUACUUAUUGUGACCCCUUGGACAACUUUAAUUUUCUUCAUUUAUCUAUUUAAAAUGGAUUUGGGCCACAAACAAACAGAUGUUAGAUGCUUAGGAAAGAAAUGUAUGUGUGUUUAAAUAUCUAUCCUUGCUGUUUUAAAUACAUACUUUGCCAACAUUACAUGCAGACCAAUCACACUGAGGCCACUGAGAGUGAAUGACUGUUAUAAAUUAUUCUCUCGUCUGUGAUGAUUUUCUGGUGCCACGUGGAAUCACAUGGAGAAUGCAUAACCUGGAAGCAGUAAGGUUACAUUUCUUUAGUUAUAGAUUGAAUAUUUCCAUUUGUUACAAUCUCACUGACACUUAUUCUUUCUCUGGUCCCCAAGUCAGUGUUAUAUUUUGAAUUUCUAAUGGAAUGAAGGUGUAGACCUUACUCAUUCUCCCAAGGGUCGCUGCCUUUAAUUUCCAAGAGGAGGAGUGUAUGGCAGUUCCACCCUAAACUGUCGACCUGCCAGCAGCCAGCUAACUGGAAUUGUUCUUCAGAUACAAGCAAAGUUCAAAUCUGUUUGAUUUCAUAAUGAUCCACUUCAACUUGAAAUGAUAGGAUUAGAGCCUGGAUUUUAUAGUGUAGUUAAUUUUUUCAUAAAAUGUGUUACUGAAACUUCUGUUGUUGUUGCUGUAUGUCAAAUUGCCUACUGCUGUAGUAAACAACCCACAUGAACUGACAAGGUCUCCUGCCUUUGAUGGAAACACAAGGUCUUGGGAGAAAUUAACCAGGUUAAAGGGAUUGUUAUCAGAGUGAUAGUUAAAUUUUGAGGAAAUGGGUGUGCCGACAUUUAAGACAUGAAAAAAAAUAGAGGUUCUUAUAAUGUUUAUCUCUUGUACUUAAUAAAUUACCAUAAAGCUAAGAAGUAUUUGUAGAGCAGCGAGGGAUCCAUUCAUCCCUUUCUUUCUUUUCUAGUUCUAACUGUCCCUAUUUCUUUUUAAUCCUUCCAAUGGAUGAGCUAAUGAUCCUAUUGGUUUCAGCCUUUCUUCCUCUCUCGAAGAAAUCAUACACCACCAACAUCCACAAGGAAUUCCUUACACUUAUCACAGUCUAUUUUAAAAUAGUUGGCAAUAAAUAUACCAGACAUCUAACUUACUUCCUAAUGGUUUAGAAUUGAAAAGGAAACCGUAUUGACUCACUGACCUUGUAUAACUCCUGGAGAUCUUUAGCAUGAGAUAUUUGAAAAAUAUUAAUUCACUGUUGCCAGGUAACAUCAGACACAGUCAGUCAUCUAACCCUGGAGGAACUGACCAAAAUUAAAAAAUAUAUUUAAAAUCCUACCCUUCUCUCCAAAGAGUAAUUAGUGUGCCAGAGUAUACAUUGGUAUUUAUUUUCACACAAGCUGUUUUCCUUAAACUGUUUUAUAUUUUCUUAUAAAUAAUUAUAAUUCUUAGGAGAUAUGCUAACCAGUUUGAGUAUAAAUUCUGUGUAAAUAACCCCUUGUAUUAAUUUUUCAAUUUCUAACUUUUAGACAACAAUGAUUUAAAAAAAUGGUUUUAAAAGUUAUUGAAUAAACCAAUAAUCUGGAAAAUUUCCUGUUGCUUUUAUUUCAGACUUAGGUUCUAUGUAUGAGAAAGUAACUAGUUUGUGCUUAAAAAGUAUUGGAGAACAGUGGUCUCUUGGUCUCUCAGUGAAGUCAAUCAAUAACUUCUUUGAGAACUGCAAGCUUGCAGGUUAUUCCAAUCAGGACUGUUGUGAGAUGUAAAGUCAGAGGAAGUGUCCAGAUUUGA